CCUACGGGGGCUGCAGUGGGGAAUAUUGGACAAUGGGCGAAAGCCUGAUCCAGCCAUGCCGCGUGUGUGAAGAAGGCCUUCGGGUUGUAAAGCACUUUCAGUGGGGAAGAAAGCCUUGGGGCUAAUACCCUCGAGGAAGGACAUCACCCACAGAAGAAGCACCGGCUAACUCCGUGCCAGCAGCCGCGGUAAUACGGAGGGUGCGAGCGUUAAUCGGAAUUACUGGGCGUAAAGCGCGCGUAGGCGGUCUGAUAAGCCGGUUGUGAAAGCCCCGGGCUCAACCUGGGAACGGCAUCCGGAACUGUCAGGCUAGAGUGCAGGAGAGGAAGGUAGAAUUCCCGGUGUAGCGGUGAAAUGCGUAGAGAUCGGGAGGAAUACCAGUGGCGAAGGCGGCCUUCUGGACUGACACUGACGCUGAGGUGCGGAAGCGUGGGUAGCAAACAGGAUUAGAUACCCCAGUAGUC
rnacentral:rRNA from 1 species